UACAGAGGUCUCAAGCGUUGUUCGGAUUCAUUGGGCGUCAAGGGUGCGUAGGUGGCGGGGCAAGUCAGGUGUGAAAUCUCGGAGCUCAACUCCGAAACUGCACUUGAUACUGCCUUGCUGGAGUACUGGAGAGGAGAUUGGAAUUUACGGUGUAGCAGUGAAAUGCGUAGAUAUCGUAAGGAAGACCAGUGGCGAAGGCGGGUCUCUGGACAGUUCCUGACGCUGAGGCACGAAGGUCAGGGGAGCAAACGGG
rnacentral:rRNA from 1 species